rnacentral:misc_RNA from 1 species
UUAAGUUCAGCGGGUGGUCCUACCUGAUUUGAGGUCAAGAACAGAUUUGCUUUUUAUAGCCCCCUCCGGCGUAACCCUUUGGUGAGAUGCAGAUAAAGUAUCACAUCCAACAGAGGUUUUCACCGCUCAUGCAUUUCAGGGGAGCAGACUCACUAGUCGAAAGCCUGCAUUCUAUCCCCCAAGUCCAAGCCCACAUCCCG